UCUACGGGAGGCUGCAGUGGGGAAUAUUGGACAAUGGGCGAAAGCCUGAUCCAGCCAUGCCGCGUGUGUGAAGAAGGCCUUCGGGUUGUAAAGCACUUUCAGUGGGGAAGAAAGCCUUGGGGCUAAUACCCUCGAGGAAGGACAUCACCCACAGAAGAAGCACCGGCUAACUCCGUGCCAGCAGCCGCGGUAAUACGGAGGGUGCGAGCGUUAAUCGGAAUUACUGGGCGUAAAGCGCGCGUAGGCGGUCUGAUAAGCCGGUUGUGAAAGCCCCGGGCUCAACCUGGGAACGGCAUCCGGAACUGGCAGGCUAGAGUGCAGGAGAGGAAGGUAGAAUUCCCGGUGUAGCGGUGAAAUGCGUAGAGAUCGGGAGGAAUACCAGUGGCGAAGGCGGCCUUCUGGACUGACACUGACGCUGAGGUGCGAAAGCGUGGGUAGCAAACAGGAUUAGAUACCCCAGUAGUC
rnacentral:rRNA from 1 species